AACGCACCUUGCGCUCCUUGGUAUUCCGAGGAGCAUGCCUGUUUGAGUGUCAUGGUAUUCUCAAUUCCUUCAGUUUUUGCUGAGGUGAUAUUGGACUUGGAGGUUAUUGCUGGCAUCCUCGUGAAACCAGCUCCUCUUAAAUGCAUCAGUGUGAAUCCUCACUUCAUACUCAGUGUGAUAAUUAUCUAUGCUGUGUGUGAGUGAUACAACUUCAUGCUUCGAACCGUCGCAAGACAUACUUUUGACUUCUGACCUCAAAUCAGGUAGGAUUACCCGCUGAACUUAA
rnacentral:misc_RNA from 1 species